GAGGGAUUCGCAUCUAAUGUGCUGAUCCAGCUUGUCUGGGCCAGCCUCCUUGUGUACUGAAACCAAAGCAAUUUAGUCGUUGCCUACGGGCCUUCUGGCAGUCCUGGAGUCGGAGUGCAGUGAGGAUUUGGAGAUAGGAUUUAAUCGGAUACAUCUGUGUGCGCGCCGGAGUUAAGCACGGCUAGAGCAGGGGCUAUGUUUCAAGUGAGAAGUAUUAUCGCUUUCCUAUAAUAACAAUGGCGUGGAGCGUGGGGAGAGCUUGGAAAAACAGUUCGCUUUAACCUAGUCUGACUUCUCCUCCUGGUCCGGGCCAUGUCGUGAAAUCCAGUCUGGAGACAGGAAAACCUCGCCGCUGACCAAUCGAGUGUCCAGCCUGCCAAAAGAGACGAGGCUGAGGAAAUUAAAUAGGUGGGCAAGAGAGUAUCCAUCUGUGCAUGCGUGUGUUUGCGUGUUCUUCUUGGAUGUGAGCGCAGCAGUGAGUCAUAUCCACUACUGUUUGUUCCAGACACUGAAAUGUUGGCCUCAAAAUUACCGACGCACUAUUUUUUUUUUUUUUUUAUCAGACAGAGCAUGGGGAAAUCUGCAAAUGAAUCAUUGGCAUGUUGACAUCAGACCAUAAAUUCUUCUCAGCUCUGUCCACAGACUUCUAGUGUCUCAUAGUUUUCAUAGCUUUCAUUGCAGAAACAACACAUGCCUAAUUUAAGAGAUGCAAAGCUGGCAGGAUGAGCUCAGUUUUUUUUUGGUUUAUCUGGAAAAGAACAGAAGCUCCUCCGCAGUGCGCAACUGUGCAGUGAUUAACCUCCCGUCUAAAACACAGAUGUGCGAGCCUCCUGACAUCCAGCAUUGGGGUUUGAGAUGCAGAGGGCAGGGGCUGCUCCUCCUGGUGCUCCGGGGUCAGGUAAGGUAGCAUAGGGGUCUGCUCGGGGUCACAAGACCCCAGCAGGAGAGCCUGAGAGUGGGCAGAGUGUAUGUGGAUUAAGGACCUGAGGAC
ensembl:lncRNA